GUCAGGUUAGGUAAUAAUGAUAUGUCAGGUUAGGUAAUAAUGAUAUGUCAGAUUAGGUGAGGUCAGGUUAGGUAAUAAUGAUAUGUCAGAUUAGGUGAGGUCAGGUUAGGUAAUAAUGAUAUGUCAGAUUAGGUGAGGUCAGGUUAGGUAAUAAUGAUAUGUCAGAUUAGGUG